rnacentral:rRNA from 1 species
CGUUGAGGCGGUUCUGUAAGUUGGACGUGAAAGCCCUCGGCUCAACUGGGGGAGGUCGUUCAAUACUGCAGAACUUGAGGGCAGCAGAGGGGGGUGGAAUUUCCGGUGUAGUGGUGAAAUGCGUAGAUAUCGGAAGGAACACCAGUGGCGAAGGCGGCCCCCUGGGCUGCUCCUGACGCUGAAUGCGAAAGCUAGGGGAGCGAACG